CUACGGGGGGCUGCAGUCAAGAAUAUUCCACAAUGCACGAAAGUGUGAUGGAGCGACGCCGCGUGCAGGAAGACGCCCUUCGGGGUGUAAACUGCUUUUCUCUACGAAGAAUUCGUGACGGUAGUAGAGGAAUAAGAGGUUGCUAACUCUGUGCCAGCAGCAGCGGUAAUACAGAGACCUCAAACGUUAUCCGGAUUCAUUGGGCGUAAAGCGUCCGCAGGUGGUUGUGACAGUGUGUGGUCAAAUCUUGGGGCUUAACUUCGAGACUGCCACGCAUACUACACAACUUGAGGCUGGGAGAGGCAAGCGGAAUUCUCGGUGUAGUCGUAAUAAGCGCUGAUAUCGAGAGGAACACCAAAGGCGAAGGCAGCUUGCUGGAACAUGCCUGACACUCAUGGACGAAAGCGUGGGGAGCGAAUCGGAUUAGAUACCCCCGUAGUC
rnacentral:rRNA from 1 species